UUUGGAGGCUCAAACACCCUGAGGGCAUUGGAUCCAAUCUGGUCUUGGAAGCAAAGCAGGGUCAGCCCUGGUGAGUACUUGGAGGGAGAACCCUCCAAGUAAUACCAUAUGCCAUAGGAG
rnacentral:rRNA from 11 species